AAAUCAGUUAUGGUUCACUAGAUCGUACAGUUUACAUGGAUAACUGUGGUAAUUCUAGAGCUAAUACAUGCACUCAGCUCGCUUCUUCGGGAGCGAGCGCAGUUAUUAGAAUAAAACCAAUCCGGCCUUCGGGUCGGUAAAAUUGGUGACUCUGAAUAACCGAAGCGGAGCGCAUGGUCUCGUACCGGCGCCAGAUCUUUCAAGUGUCUGACUUAUCAGCUCGUAGUUAGGUUACGUUCCUAACUAGGCUAUUACGGGUAACGGGGUGUCAGGGCCCGACACCGGAGAGGGAGCCUGAGAAACGGCUACCACAUCCAAGGAAGGCAGCAGGCGCGCAAAUUACCCACUCCCGGCACGGGGAGGUAGUGACGAAAAAUAACGAUGCGAGAGCUUUUAGCUCCUCGUAAUCGGAAUGGGUACACUUUAAAUCCUUUAACGAGGAUCUAUUGGAGGGCAAGUCUGGUGCCAGCAGCCGCGGUAAUUCCAGCUCCAAUAGCGUAUAUUAAAGUUGCUGCGGUUAAAAAGCUCGUAGUUGGAUCUGGGUAGUCGAUGAGCGGUACGCUUUACGGCGACACUGUUCGUUCGGCACCACAAGCCGGUUAUGUCUUGCAUGCCCUUCAUUGGGUGUGCUUGGCGACCGGAACGUUUACUUUGAAAAAAUUAGAGUGCUCAAAGCAGGCGUAUGGCCUUGCAUAAUGGUGCAUGGAAUAAUAGAUAGGACCUCGGUUCUAUUUUGUUGGUUUUCGGAGCUCGAGGU
rnacentral:rRNA from 1 species